rnacentral:rRNA from 1 species
GACGAACGCUGGCGGCGUGCCUAAUACAUGCAAGUAGAACGCUGAAGAGAGGAGCUUGCUCUUCUUGGAUGAGUUGCGAACGGGUGAGUAACGCGUAGGCAACCUGCCUUGUAGCGGGGGAUAACUAUUGGAAACGAUAGCUAAUACCGCAUAACAAUGGAUGACACAUGUCAUUUAUUUGAAAGGGGCAAUUGCUCCACUACAAGAUGGACCUGCGUUGUAUUAGCUAGUAGGUGAGGUAAUGGCUCACCUAGGCGACGAUACAUAGCCGACCUGAGAGGGUGAUCGGCCACACUGGGACUGAGACACGGCCCAGACUCCUACGGGAGGCAGCAGUAGGGAAUCUUCGGCAAUGGGGGCAACCCUGACCGAGCAACGCCGCGUGAGUGAAGAAGGUUUUCGGAUCGUAAAGCUCUGUUGUAAGUCAAGAACGGGUGUGAGAGUGGAAAGUUCACACUGUGACGGUAGCUUACCAGAAAGGGACGGCUAACUACGUG